rnacentral:rRNA from 1 species
UACGUAGGGGGCCAGCGUUGUCCGGAUUCAUUGGGCGUAAAGCGCGUGUAGGCGGCCAGGUAGGUCCGAUGUGAAAUCUGGAGGCUCAACCUCCAGCGGUCAUUGGAAACCAUCUGGCUAGAGUCCGGAAGAGGAGAGUAGAAUUCCUGGUGUAGCGGUGAAAUGCGCAGAUAUCAGGAAGAACACCAAUGGCGAAGGCAGCUCUCUGGGACGGUACUGACGCUGAGACGCGAAAGCGUGGGGAGCGAACAGG